CCAUUAACUAAGUGCAUGCUACAUAUUAUACACUCUAUUCAGCAUUCACUCAAAGAUGUCUACAAUGUCUAUAAGGUCACUGUUAGUUGCUUUCCUAGUGUGUGGACUGUUCAAUUUGAUUGUAAUUGGACUAGAACCAGAAUUGACUCAAGACUAUCAAAAGCCGAUCUGCACUGUACAUUGCCAAAGCAUACCGCUCAUAAUAUGCGAGGCCAAGCAACCCAAUGUACAGGAUAUGUACGUAACAGUGAACAAUGAACUGCAGUAUCUGAACUCAUCACAGCUAGUAGAUUAUGACAUCUUCAUGGGGAAAAAAUGUGUUAUCGAUUGUGGCGAUUCAUGUCCUGAACGAUGUACAAGAUUUAUAUUAGAGUUAAAAAAUCAAGUACUACUAAAAGGGGCCAAUGUAUCGGUGUGUGUACUACAUGGAGACGGGAACGACACUAAAAAUGACUGUACCCAACUUGAUCUGACCAGUACAACAGAUAAACCAACACGAACUUGUAAUAAUAACAGCAAUUCAGACUCAGGAGUACCUUCUACAACAAAUUUAGCUGUUCCUGUUAUUGUAACUGUUAUUCUAACUGUUAUUAUUGGAACUGUUUAUAAUUGUCAUGAUCUGCGUUUAUAAGUGGAAAAAACACAGCAGAAAAAACACAGCAGAAUUUAAGGAUAAAUGAGGAUUAACCUAUAUAGCUAGCUGUCAGCUCAUAACACAACAGUAACAUCUAUCCCUUAACUGUCACAUCAAACAUCAAUAGCAUACAGUGGCUAAUAUAAUUAUAAUCACAGAUAUUAGAAAAUGAUAUUUGUUGCUAAUUCAUAAAGAUACCAUUAUUAUUCAGCGUGAUAA